rnacentral:lncRNA from 1 species
CUGACUGUUCUCCACAGGUGCUGAGUACUGACACCUCCGUAGCCAGCAGGCUCCCUACGCACUUAAGACUUGGAAGACCUUGGACCACAGAGAAAACACAAAGGCUCCUGUGGCCGGCUGAG